rnacentral:rRNA from 1 species
UACAGAGGGUGCGAGCGUUGUUCGGAAUCACUGGGCGUAAAGCGCACGUAGGCGGAUCUUUAAGUCAGGGGUGAAAUCCCGAGGCUCAACCUCGGAACUGCCUUUGAUACUGGGGAUCUCGAGUCCGGGAGAGGUGAGUGGAACUGCGAGUGUAGAGGUGAAAUUCGUAGAUAUUCGCAAGAGCACCAGUGGCGAAGGCGGCUCACUGGCCCGGAACUGACGCUGAGGUGCGAAAGCGUGGGGAGCAAACAGG